rnacentral:rRNA from 1 species
UACGGGGGGGGCAAGCGUUGUUCGGAAUUACUGGGCGUAAAGGGCUCGUAGGUGGCCAACUAAGUCAGACGUGAAAUCCCUCAGCUUAACUGGGGAACUGCGUCUGAUACUGGAUGGCUUGAAUUUGGGAGAGGGAUGCGGAAUUCCAGGUGUAGCGGUGAAAUGCGUAGAUAUCUGGAGGAACACCGGUGGCGAAGGCGGCAUCCUGGACCAACACUGACACUGAGGAGCGAAAGCCAGGGGAGCAAACGGG